CUUCACGGGGAUAGAGAGCUUUUCCAGCCUUUUGGUAACGCAAACUGCACUGCCGUGAGACGGGGUCUGCCUCACGGCAGGGAGCCCUUUGCAGGGGUGACUUAGAAGAGUGACAGAGGACAUCCUUCAAAUUUUAAAAGGCUCUGAGCUCGACAUGCACCAUGAGGACCUCAUCUAACCUUCAACAGUUCUGUAAGCUCCUGAGAAGCAAGGUCAAAUGCUAUGUCCUGUCAGCUGGAGUCACCACUGUGCUGGUCAUCAUCCUCAUCCCUGCCACCUCUAUCUGAAGGUGAUGCGACCUGUGCUGCAUGUUCUAUGUGUCCCCUGCUACCUGGGCUUGGCUCAUGAAGUAAACCAGGACCCCUGCUCACCAGCAGCUCCCAAUGUGGUGAACAGAGAAGCCACAACUCCUUGUGGCAGCAAGUGGAGAAGGUACCCAGGAACCAAGGUGACACAGGGCAGGUAGUGAUGUGCUCCAGCCGGGGUCUGAGAUGGCAUUCAGAGGAGGUGGCCCCUGGCCUGCAGGCUGGGCAGGAACACGUGCCCUCCUCCAGCUCAGACCCACCUGUUCAGCGGGGCAGCGUCAGGGGCACGGAGCCAACUUUUGGCCUGAAGCUGUCUGUCAGUUUCCCCUUUAACCAAAUCCCUGUUCCUUUCCCCAGCAAGUUUCCAAUUUAAAUACCCAAAUUGUUUACUCACUGAAAUCAAUCAACAAGGGACCAGCUUGUAUCUGGGAUUCAAUUGACUAUGAUACACUGUAUUACAAUUACACCAAUGUAUUUCU